UUAAAUUGAAGAGUUUGAUCAUGGCUCAGAUUGAACGCUGGCGGCAGGCCUAACACAUGCAAGUCGAACGGUAACAGGAAACAGCUUGCUGUUUCGCUGACGAGUGGCGGACGGGUGAGUAAUGUCUGGGAAACUGCCUGAUGGAGGGGGAUAACUACUGGAAACGGUAGCUAAUACCGCAUAACGUCGCAAGACCAAAGAGGGGGACCUUCGGGCCUCUUGCCAUCGGAUGUGCCCAGAUGGGAUUAGCUAGUAGGUGGGGUAACGGCUCACC
rnacentral:rRNA from 1 species